rnacentral:tRNA from 1 species
GCUCAGUCGGUUGAGCGUGGUGCUGAUAUCACCAAGGUCGCGGGUUCAAUCCCCAC